rnacentral:rRNA from 1 species
GAUGAACGCUGGCGGCGUGCCUAAUACAUGCAAGUCGAGCGAACAGACGAGGAGCUUGCUCCUCUGGCGUUAGCGGCGGACGGGUGAGUAACACGUGGAUAACCUACCUAUAAGACUGGGAUAACUUCGGGAAACCGGAGCUAAUACCGGAUAAUAUAUUGAACCGCAUGGUUCAAUAGUGAAAGACGGUUUUGCUGUCACUUAUAGAUGGAUCCGCGCCGCAUUAGCUAGUUGGUAAGGUAACGGCUUACCAAGGCGACGAUGCGUAGCCGACCUGAGAGGGUGAUCGGCCACACUGGAACUGAGACACGGUCCAGACUCCUACGGGAGGCAGCAGUAGGGAAUCUUCCGCAAUGGGCGAAAGCUUGACGGAGCAACGCCGCGUGAGUGAUGAAGGUCUUCGGAUCGUAAAACUCUGUUAUUAGGGAAGAACAAAUGUGUAAGUAACUAUGCACGUCUUGACGGUACCUAAUCAGAAAGCCACGGCUAACUACGUG